UAGUAAUGUAUUCUUACCAUUAUAAAGGAGGAACUCGGUCAUCCUGUGGGUUUUAUGAACCUUAGAUGCUUUGUUGUCGAAAGGGUGAUGUGAGGGAGGGUUAGAUGCCCA
rfam:Bacillus sp. FJAT-21945 scaffold3, whole genome shotgun sequence.